AGCUGUUAAAUGUUCCUUAGCAUUCAAAGUUUAUUGAUCUUUGAGAGUGUGGUAUUGUAUUAUGAUGCUGUAUUAGUUGAAAAGAGUCUCAAAACAACAAUACUAUCGUUUAUCGCAAUAACAAUUUAUCGUCCAGCAAAAUUUGUUAUUGUGACAGGUCUAUUUUCAACAGAGAUUGCAAAAAUAUUUUUGUCUUUUUCUGUCAAUUUAACAGUUUAUAAAAGUUAGUAAAACGCUGAAAACAAAUCUAGAAGACAGUCGAUGCCAUUACACCAUGUCUUUGUUAUCCUGCUGCCCCCCUCUCUCUCUCUCUCUCUCUAUCUCUCUCUCUCACUCUCCAGUGAUGCAUCGUUGUCGCUCUCGGGUCAUGGAGGGGGGCGGGGCCGGGGGCUGGGGUCACCCUGGUCUCAGACCCGGUCUGUGGCCUCAGAGAAACUCAGUGUGUCCAAGACGGAGAAGAAGCCUCCCCUCCGGUGGUUUGGGUCGUGGUGGCUUGUCUGUCACUUAGCCUGGCUGACUCGCCCCUCUCUAUCUCCAUCUCUGUGCGACUGUCAGGAUGGCAGAUGACAGCGGGGGGCCAUCAGGGGACCACAAGCUCUCAGUGAACCUCCAUUCGCUGAUCUCCAUGGAGAAUAGCCCCCACCAGCUGUAUUUCAAGGCCGUCAAACUGCUGCUGUCACGACCAAGACCACGGCAACCAGGCGAGGCCUCUCCCAUAAAACAUCAAAAGCAUGCGCUGCAAUGAAAACAAGCGAGGGAAGCGCAGAGGGAGGGGGGGGCUUGUCAAUCUGCACGGCCCCUCUUCUAAGUGACUGUAGCCCACCGCCACUACACUCAGCUUCCAUGCCAUUCAUUUUUCAUGCUGCGCUGUCGGUGAUCCAAACUGUGCCAUCCAUUCUGCAGCUGACAUGUCCAAAUGUCUGAGUUACCAUAUAGCGCUGCACAUAACAGAGCUGUCUGCGAAAAGUUUUAUGAUAUGGAAAUAUGGUGAGAGCCUCUGUGAUAAAUGGACAUAAUGGGGCCAGAAGUAACGCCGAGCUGCUGUGGGCAUCUGGGGCGUUUUUAUCUUGAGACUAAUACCUGAGUGACAUGAGCUCAUUCUUCCUGACACGCAAAGGUUGCCUUAAAAAAGCAUUUAUCGUGCUUGGGUCUUUUCAGAUUUUGCGGUAAUAAAAUAGUGUGUUUUCAUUCCUGAUAGUCUGGUAGAGUUGGUUCGAUUUGAGACCAAAGUUGCAACAUUUAUUACAUUUUCAGCUGCUGUAGUUCGCUUCCACACUGCACUCCCUCAAAUGACCCAAACACUUUGAAAAACCUGUUCCCCUCCUCACCUGUGGGGGCGCUGCACCAAGAACCACUGAAGAAAACGACACAGAAACCUCUGAAGAAGACACUGAGCACAACUUCCUUCUUCAGGAAAGAGAAGGUGGGAGGAAAUAAAGACGGCACGGGUGAGAGAGGAGGGGAGAAGAUUGACAGGAUAGAGAGGUGAUGCCACCUGUACAGGGCAGGAAGAGAACGGAAAAAACUCAUUAGUCUGCCUCCAUCCCAAUUCGCUGCUCUGACCUUGAGACAUCCACGCCUCCCUCCAGGCUCAGCCCAGUCAGGACUCCCCGGAUCAACCCCCACCUUCAUCGCCAGCAUCUCCUAAUUCAGCUGCAGCCAUUUAAUGAAGGGUGGUCCUUUUCAGGAACACAUCAGCAGAAUAUUUUCACACUCUUCCUCCUCCUCCUCUUCCUCGUCUCUCUGCGGCAGACUGAGUUCACCCCCCACUCUGCGGGAAGAGCAAAGAGCUGUCCGCAGCGUUUUGUGUCAAGGCCUGGAGCGCGGUCCUCGAUGCGAAGAGGAGAGAACGGGAGAGGAAGAGAAACUCUGUGUGACACUGAGGCAUGGAGGAGGAGGAAGAGGAAGGCGAGGCCGCAUCAGGAGGUUGUCGAGCCACAUCCAAGUGUCAGGGUCCCGAAAUAGUGGCGAGCGACAAGCAGACUGAAGACACCAAACAAACAACAGCUCUCGGAUCGAGUAAACAUCGGCUAACACUCGGGACGCGACAAACUGUGAAGCCUCCCUCUGUCUUCCGGUCCUGCUAAUCAGAUCCGCGGAGAAAGCAACCGGAGAGGACACUGGUCCUGCUAGAGGAGGCCUCUGCUGCCUCUCUUCUGUUCUGGCCGGGGUCCUCGAAGGGAAAAAGAAAAAAAAAACACUGACAAGCUCAGUGUGGACACAGAGGACAGAGUCUCGUCUCCAGCAGAUGUCUCGUGGCGCAGACUAUAAAUAAAGCCAAUGAGAGCAGCCAGCUGCUGACGAGCGCCUGAGCGACGCUGCAUUCACUUUGAAACGGCUCAACUAGAGAACACAGCUUUUUAACUAUAGUAUCGAUCUCUAGUUUCUCAAGCCGAUACUUAACCUCUAUAUUCAGGCUGGAUCUGCUGGAGGUUUCUUCCUGUAACAAAAAAGAGUCAUUCCUUUCUACUGUCGCCAUCUGCUUGCUCAGGGUUGCAGCUAACAAUUAUUUUAGUAAUCAGUUAAUCAACUUAAUAAUUGGCACAUAGAUUUUGCAUUUAACCACUUAAGCCUGUCUUAUACUAUUUAAGCUAACCUGGACAUGUAACAGAUCAACACUGAAUCGUUUUUGUUCCAAAUGAGAAAAUGAAAAAACAAACUUGCAGCUGGAAAGCUUCGAAAAUAGUAUGCAGUGCUACUUCUGUCAUGUUUAAUGUCUGCUCUUUGCUGUAAUGUGCAGCCAACUCAAUGUGACUCCAACAUCUGUGAGAAGAUGCGCGACAUCCAGUGCGUUUAAUAUCGCAGCGUGGGCCUUUAACUGUGGAAGAGGAGCGCACCACUGUGGCGUUGUGUUCAGCUGAUGACCCUGACAGUCCCAAAGGACGUUGGUAGCCUGGAGGCUUGUCUGCCUCCAUUUAAACCCGUCUGACGGCGCCUUAUUUGGAUUGGACAGACAGCCAGCUGCAAUUAAAACACAUUUGUUUUUAGUGUUGGGGAUGAAAACGUGCAGAAAGUGAGCAGUUUGCAAAGCAAUAAUUGAGUUCACAACGACUAUGUCUGCUUGUAAGGAGCAGCAAUCAGAUUGUUACUGGAGUAGAGAUCAGACAAGAAGACAGGAUAAAUACUGAGAAAUACGGAUCAGAACGACUUCCCAGAUGUCAAACAAUUUUCUUAAACUCAGAGGACUAAGAGCUUAAAUAUGACGCAGUUUUAGGGUCAAUAUGGUUUAGUUGUAUUUCAUUGUGACUUUUUGUACAAUUCUGUUUUAAUCUGCUUUUAAUCUGCUUUUGGGGUGUGUUUGCUAGUUUCCAUUGAAUUAAUAGUUAAAUAUGGUUUAUGUUUAGUUUUUAUGAGUUAGUUUAAUCAUACUUUGGCUAAUUUUUAGGUAUACAGUUUAAAAAAAGGUCAAAAUAUUGUAUUGCAUUUGUGUAUACAUUG